rfam:Bacillus gobiensis strain FJAT-4402 chromosome.
UUUGGUGGCGAUGGCGAAGAGGUCACACCCGUUCCCAUGCCGAACACGGAAGUUAAGCUCUUCAGCGCCGAUGGUAGUUGGGGGAUUCCCCCUGUGAGAGUAGGACGCCGCCAAGC